rnacentral:rRNA from 1 species
CACGUAGGGUGCGAGCGUUGUCCGGAAUUAUUGGGCGUAAAGGGCUCGUAGGCGGUUUGUCACGUCGGGAGUGAAAACUCGGGGCUCAACCCCGAGCCUGCUUCCGAUACGGGCAGACUAGAGGUAUGCAGGGGAGAAUGGAAUUCCUGGUGUAGCGGUGAAAUGCGCAGAUAUCAGGAGGAACACCGGUGGCGAAGGCGGUUCUCUGGGCAUUACCUGACGCUGAGGAGCGAAAGUGUGGGGAGCGAACAGG